rnacentral:lncRNA from 1 species
UCAUAAUCUCAAAAGUUGCACAGAUUCGAAUCGUUAUGUCUAAACAGGAGAUAUAUCAAAUGCAAGGCUAGAACAAUUCAAAGUUCCUCAUAUUCAAAGCAAAUGUAGAGAUAAAAUUACAGUAAGGAAAGAUCAGGACACUUGCAAUAGGAAAGAUUAGAAAGCUUGCAAUAGGAAGGAUCGGAACACUUGCAAGAGAAAAGAUUAGAAAGCUUGCAAUAGAAAGGAUCA